UCUCCGCUGGUCCCCUCCAUUGCCAUCACUGACCCCCCCCCCCCCCCCCCCCCCCCCCCCCACUGUCGCGGCCACUGAUCCCCUCCGCCGCCAUUGGACUUCGCCGCAACUGCUGGAUCCCUACAACGAUGCUAGUCCCCUGCGCUAUCACCGUAAGCUACCGGUACAUAAGCCAUGUUUUUUUAUUCCAACGAGGCUGAGUACCACACAACCCCUAUCCGGUCGCCCUCUAAUCGUGGUAACAAGGGUCUCUUCUCAGAUGAAAUGACGCUAAGUCAUAGGGAGCGAUUUAUCGCUUCUCCACGAUCUGGUAGAAUGGACAGGUUGGACCUCAACUCCAGCGACGUGGAGUUCUAGAACAUUACAUCAUUUCAAGACCUUCGUCAGUCCCAGUUCAUUGCUAACUACCAUGCUACUCCAGUUCAUGAUGGUCACAGGGGUCGUAGUCAUUCUUGAUCAGCUGGUAUUGGUCGUGGUGUUACAGGCAGAGGCCUCAGAGUUCCACGAACGACCAGCGAGGGUCCUAGAAGUGGUUGUGCAGCAUGGAGCACCUCCUCUCAUGGACGUGGUAUACCUCGACCUAUUGGUGCUUCCUCCUCAAGUGGUCAUGGUGCCACCGGUGGUCGUGGUACCAAUAUUUCAGCUCCAAAUGCCUCUCACAGUCAAGAGGACAAUGACGAUUCAUUUGCACAUGUGACUCCUUUUUUGACCUGAUCAUUCCAAUGUUGUACCAUUCUUGAUUAAAUCACAAAGAGCUGAUUGUUUGCUAGAAUCAUAUAAUCUAUAAUACAGUAGGCAAAUGAAUAUGGUCUCA